rnacentral:lncRNA from 1 species
CGAUACCGCAUGAAUCGGUGGAGGAAUUGAAGAAGUUCAGAUAGUAUUAUUAAUUAUUGCUCCCUUCUCCUGGUGAAGAGAAGGAUAUGUUACGACAUCUGUUAGACAUUACUUAUCACAUCUACAUAUGUGAAAGCAACAAGCUGUCUCAAAAAAUGAUGAGCCACGUCAUCUGGAAUACUAAUGGCCUUAGGAUGAGAGUAGGAAUAAAUAUAGACCGUUGGAUCAUUUGUGUGUAUACCAAUCACAUAUAAGGAGAGUUCUAGAUGAAAAGGUCCCAUGCAUAUGCAGAUACUUUUAUAUGAUAGUCAAAGCAAUCUAGUCAAACAAACAAUAAAAAAUAGAAAAAAAAAGGUAUUCGGAAGGUAGCAGAGCAAUGAAAUGAGUGGAUAAUAAAAGGGUUGAUUGAAUCAUGCCAUUAUCCAUUAUAACUUUGUAUGUUCGGAAAAAUAACUUAAAUAAAUUUGACUAUUAAAAAAGUUUAUCUAGAAAAAAAAGUUAAAACGACUUAUAAUAUAAAACAGACGAACGAAGGUAGUAGCAUUUUAGUCUUUUUUGGUGCAGUGGUUUCAUUUUCCUUGAAUAAAGUUGGUUGCUUUCAGGCCACGUAAUAUAUCUAUUAUAUACUAAAAGUCCAUUAAACUUCCUACAAACGCUCUCAAGCCGACACCUGAGACUUCUAUAAACGCUCCUAAGUCACCAAAUAGCUCUCUAAUAAUUUAAAUAAAAUUCUGAGAAAAAGAAAAACAUCUCACCGUAAGUGUUCAUUUAAAGUGGUGGACCACUAAUAUUAACCAUUGGAUCAUAAACUAAAUCUCUCCUCACCUUACUCUCCCGGCCCCACGAGUACGUACGUACUUAUGCCUAUGCCUCUGUCAGCUCGAUUCAUGCCAUCCAACUCUUGAUUCUCUCUCUUUUUUUUUUUCUAAUUACACAAUACAUGUACUCCCUUUGUUUCUAAAUAUUCAACACUAUUGACCUUCUAGCACAUGUUUGACCGUUCGUCUUAUUCAGAAAUUUUUGUGAAAUAUGUAAAACUAUAUGUAUACGUAUAAUUAUGUUUAACAACAAAUGAUAGGAAAAGAAUUAAUAAUUACUUAAAUUUUUUUAAUAAGACGAACAAUACAUAUUUAAAAAAGUCAACGGCGUCAAAUAUUUAGAAACAGAUAGAGUACAUCGUAAUUUGUUCUCAUUUUCAUGGAGACUGAUAUGCCUCCGCGAGCUCGAUUGAUGUUGUCCAGAUCCUAAUUAAUUCUCCAUAUUUUUUCCAAAUCACGAUACAUGUACACCAUAGUUUAUUAUCAUACAUUUUUAGAUCAGUUUUUUCAUAGAGACUAAUCUAAGUGUGAAUGUGCAAACGCUAGGAAUUUAUAAUAGAAGUGAUCUGGUGUUGUAAACAAACAAUUAUUUUUUAAGGAUCUACACAUACACUUUAGCAGCUAUAGGUUUUUUUUAAUUAAAUCACCAAUUCCAGACCUAUAUUGGCUAUAUUUUUACUACUAUAUUAUAUUAUAUCUUAUAUGCCAUUUCUACCAACGCUUGUAGGUUAUCACGUGACACUGUCUAAUCUCAUCAUUAAUUUUUAUUUAAAUUGGUAGGCCUAUUAUUUUAGAUUAUUAGAUCAAUUCUAAAUGUACUUAACUGUGGCAAAAAAAAAACCAUAAGUAGUGUACGUAUGAUUGGGAAAAAAAUAAAGCUUACUAUGAAAAACAUACGCGCAUAGUUAGGAUAAAAAAGAAAAAUAAAUAAUACGUACUAAGUACCAAUGGAAAAAUUAUCGACGGUUUUUAAAAACAGAUAUUCCUACAAUAAAAAAUAUUACUUCACAAAUAUACGCAAAUAGAAACUGCGAGAUCUAUAAUAUAAAUAUCAAAUAUCAAAUCAAUGGUGUUUGAACAUUUAUCUUCUAAAUUAUAUUUAUAAAAAAUAAAGCUUACUAAGAAAAAUAUACGCACGUACUUAGGAUAAAAAAGAUAAAGCCAAAAAAAUACGUAUGAAGUAUCAUUGGGAAAAUUAUCGACAAUCUUUAAAACAUAUGUUCCUAUAAUGUAAAAUAAAAUAUAUUACUUCACAAAUAUAUGCAAAUAGAAACUAGAUCUAUAAUAUAAAUAUCAAAUAUCAGAUCAAUGGUCGUUAAAUAUUUAUCUUUUAAAUCAUAUUUGUAUUCAAUUUGAGAUUAGUUGUAUUCCUUUAAUUAUUAUAUGCUAAAAGUCCAUUAAGAAUCCUACAAACACUUUCAAGCCGCCACGUGAGACUCCCACAAAUGCUCCUAAGUCGCCAUACGGUGCUCUAAUAAUUAAUUUAAAUAAAGUUUAGAGGAAAAGAAAAACAUCUCACGGUAAGUUUUCAUUUAAAAUGGUGGACCCGAUAAUAUUAACCAUUGGAUCAAAACUAUUGGUGAUUAUUUAUUGUAAAUAAGUUUGGAAAAAUAAAUAUACUCGGUGGAUCUGCCCUGGUCGGAUCCAUGGCUGACGGAUCAGCCGCUCCACGACCUCUGGUUGUCGGGAUCCAAGAAGCCCGGGAAAGAGGGAGGAGAGGCACCGGGAUCCGCGUGGUUGGAGGCCGAGCACACUACCGCUCGAACUUGAAAUAGCCACCGCCAUGGCUCCUGCAGUUGCCGUUGCCCGCCGCUGGUCGAUCCGCCCCUGUCAUAUCCGUGGGAGGAGAGGUGGCAGAAUCCGCAAGGUUAGAGCCAAAGCCCAUCGCUGCCAGAGCUCGCCGCAGCCGCUGCCAUUGCCGGAUUCGCAAGCUCCGGCCGUCGAACCCACCGCCGCUCCGUCACUGUGAGAUGAGGGAGAGGAUAAGGAGAGAGAGUGAGCGAGGAGU